rnacentral:rRNA from 1 species
UCAUUACAGGACUCGCAAGACUCCCGUAAACCACUGNUGAACUUACCGACAACCCGUUGCCUCGGCGGGUGCUCCAGGGCUUCGUGCCCCGGGGCGCUACGCCCGCCGGUGGCCCCAAACUCUUUGUCUCUCGCGUUGGCAUCUCCGAGUUUUUUUAAACGAGUCAAAACUUUCAACAACGGAUCUCUUGGUUCUGGCAUCGAUGAAGAACGCAGCGAAAUGCGAUAAGUAAUGUGAAUUGCAGAAUUCAGUGAAUCAUCGAAUCUUUGAACGCACAUUGCGCCCGCCAGUAUUCUGGCGGGCAUGCCUGUCCGAGCGUCAUUUCAACCCUCAGGCCCCGCCUGGCGUUGGAGCCCUGCGCCUGCAGGCUCCCAAAGACAGCGGCGGGCGCGCCCCGGAACUGAGCGUAGUAAUUCUUCUCGUUCUAGUUCGUGGCGUGUUCCGGCCGUAAAACCCCCUAUUUUUUAGUGGUUGACCUCGGAUCAGGUAGGAAUACCCGCUGAACUUAAGCAUAUCAAUAAGCGGAGGAAAAGAAACCAACAGGGAUUGCCUCAGUAACGGCGAGUGAAGCGGCAACAGCUCAAAUUUGAAAUCUGGCCCCCCGGCCCGAGUUGUAAUUUGCAGAGGAUGCUUCUGGUGCGGUGCCUUCCAAGUCCCCUGGAACGGGGCGCCAUAGAGGGUGAGAGCCCCGUCAGGUCGGCCGCCAAUCCUGUGUGAAGCUCCUUCGACGAGUCGAGUAGUUUGGGAAUGCUGCUCUAAAUGGGAGGUAGACCCCUUCUAAAGCUAAAUAUUGGCCAGAGACCGAUAGCGCACAAGUAGAGUGAUCGAAAGAUGAAAAGCACUUUGAAAAGAGGGUUAAACAGUACGUGAAAUUGUUGAAAGGGAAGCGCUUGUGACCAGACGUGCACCGGGUGUUCAGCGGGCGUUCUCGCCCGUGCAUUCGCCCCGGUGCAGGCCAGCGUCGGUUCGGGUGGGGGGAUAAAGGUGUCAGGAACGUGGCUCCCCCGGGAGUGUUAUAGCCUGGCGCGUCAUGCCCCCGCCUGGACCGAGGUUCGCGC